rfam:Phlebiopsis gigantea 11061_1 CR5-6 unplaced genomic scaffold PHLGIscaffold_70, whole genome shotgun sequence.
GCCCGCCUAGCUCAAUCGGAUAGAGCGUCAGACUCUUACGAGUGCGGGUGUAUCACACCAUGUGAUCUGAAGUGGGUUCGACCCCCACGGUGGGCU